CAAGCCAUGCUGAUCCGCAGGGUAAGUUACUGGGAGUUUGCAAGACGGUGAGUGGAAAAGGGCUUUCUUACUGGAAAGCUGCCUUCCCCUGCCCCCUGCCCCAGUGAAAGUUUGUUAGAAUUGACUCUGGACAAACAUCCCAUCCCAUCCUCCUUUGGAUCCUCAGGGUCGGGAAGGGGUAUCAGGUCUAGGGACCUCCAUGGAGAGACCUCAAGUAGCCUCUCCUAUUGCUCUGAGCUGACCACACUCCCCCAUUCUGGCCUCAGGAGACAAGAUCCCUGGCUCUGCCGUGCUAAUCUUCAACGUCCAUGUCAUUGACUUCCACAACCCUGCGGAUGUGGUGGAAAUCAGGACACUGUCCCGGCCAUCUGAGACCUGCAAUGAGACCACCAAGCUUGGGGACUUUGUUCGAUACCAUUACAACUGUUCUUUGCUGGACGGCACCCAGCUGUUCACCUCGCAUGACUACGGGGCCCCCCAGGAGGCGACUCUCGGGGCCAACAAGGUGAUCGAAGGCCUGGACACGGGCCUGCAGGGCAUGUGUGUGGGAGAGAGGCGGCAGCUCAUCGUGCCCCCGCACCUGGCCCACGGGGAGAGUGGAGCCCGGGGAGUCCCAGGCAGUGCUGUGCUGCUGUUUGAGGUGGAGCUGGUGUCCCGGGAGGAUGGGCUGCCCACAGGCUACCUGUUUGUGUGGCACGAGGACCCUCCUGCCAACCUGUUUGAAGACAUGGACCUCAACAAGGAUGGCGAGGUCCCUCCGGAGGAGUUCUCCACCUUCAUCAAGGCUCAAGUGAGUGAGGGCAAAGGACGCCUCAUGCCUGGGCAGGACCCUGAGAA
rnacentral:sRNA from 1 species